rnacentral:pre_miRNA from 1 species
GAAGUACUCCCUCCGUUCCGAAUUACUUGUCGCACGUAUGGAUGUAUCUAGAUGUAUUUUAGUUCUAGAUACAUCCAUUUCAGCGACGAGUAAUUUGGAACGGAGGGAGUACAUC